rnacentral:lncRNA from 1 species
GGUAGACUUGCAUUCUUUCUUCCAUAUCGUUUUUCCAGCACAAAUUGCUUAAGUUUUAAAUACUGUCAGUCAUGACACCAUGGAAUGAUGAUUUUUUUGGUUACAAUAUUAAUAAGUAGUAUCCAGGGCUCACUUUAUUUUAUUUAUUUAUUUAUCUAUCUAUGUAUUUAUUUAUCUAUUUAUUUAUUUAUUUUUGAGACAGAGUCUCACUCUGUUGCCCAGGCUGGGGUGCAGUGGUGCGAUCUCAGCUCACUGCAACCUCCACCUCCCAGGUUCAAGUGAUUCUCAUGCCUCGGCCUCCUGAGUAGCUGGGACUGCAGGCAUGUGCCACUGUGCCUGGCUAAUUUUUGUAUUUUUGAUAGAGACAGGGUUUCACCAUGUUGGCCAGGCUGGUGUCAAACUCCUAGCCUCAGCUGACCUGCCCGCCUUGGCCUCCCAAAGUGCUGGAAUUACAGGUGUGAGCCACUGUGCCUGGCCUUGGUUUGUUUGUAUGUUUUUGUCGUUGUUUGUUUGUUUGUUUUUGAGACAGGGUCUUGUUCUGUCACACAAGCUGGAGUGCAGUGACCCAAUCACAGCUCACUGCAGCCUCGACUUGGCAGGCACAAGCAGUCCUCCCACCUCAGCCUCCCAAGUAGCUGGGACCAUAGGUGCAUGCCACCAUGCCUGGCGAAUUUUUUUUUAUUUUUUGUAAUGACAGCAUCUCUUUAUGUUGACCCAGCUGGUGUUAAAGUCCUGGGCUCAAGCAUUUCUCCCACCUCAGCCUUCCAAAGUGCUGGGAUUACAGGCAUGAGGCACUGCACCCGGCCAGGGCUCACUUUAAACACAGAGAGGCUAAAUGCAUAAAUCCAGGUGUUUAAGAUUUUGUAUGCUAUCAUAUUGGCCAGCUUUCUGGGCAGUGAUUACUGGAAAUGCCAGUUUCUCACCCGCCUCCUAAACUCAAGUUCUGUCUGUCUGGUCUUACUUGACAUCAGUCCACUGGUUUCAUACUCCCUGGAUUUCACAACCAAACAUUCAGAGUCUUCAGAGCCAAGCGACUGGUCUUUCAGUCUCAAAAGUUGACCCUUUACGUCUCAAAUGACAUUUCUCAACCUCUUUUUUUUUUAAAAUAUAUAUGCAGUAUAAACCUAUCAUUUAUCAGGAGUAGAAAAAAAUUGCCUUAGUCAAUCUAGUUAAUCUUUGAAUGCCUCACUUCUGGUGGUGGUGUGUUUGUUUGUUUGUGUGUUUGUUUUCAAUUGUGGUUAAAAAAAUGCAUAGCAUAAAAUUUACCAUCUUAAGCAUUUCUAAGUGUUCAGUAAUGUUGUGUUCAGUAGCGUUAAGUAUAUUCACCUUGUCAUGCAACCAAUCUCCAGAACUUUUUUGUCCUGCAAAACUGAAAAGCUAUAUCCAUUGAACAACUCCCCAUCUUCCUUUCCCCCGCAAGCCUGGCAACUACCAUUACACUUUCUUCUCAACCUUUUCUUUAAAAUAAGCAAUAUGUUUUCUUAACCUUUCUCCCAUCCAUAAUGGGUUUACAGUUAUUGCUAUUUAGCUCUCCAAGUAUAAAGCUUAUCUCCUGUAUUGUUAGAAUUCUCACAUGCAAAAAGAUUUACAAUUACAAAGCAAUUGUGCUAAUAAGAUAUGCUUAUAAUCUUUGAGUGAAGGUAUUUUAUCCUGGAAGCUUUUCCACUGAUUUACAGGGGGAGGUAAGCCUUUAUUCCUCUUGAGACCUAUGGAUCUCACUUUAUGCUUCCUGGCUGGUUUGGUAUUUUAUUUGUUUGUUGAAGGUUUAAGUUUAGAGUUACCAGGGCAAUUAGGCUUAAAUCCUAGAAUUUCCUUGGCUUUUUCCUGUCUACAUUCUAAGACUGUUUUACCAUAACACUUUAUAACGUAAGUAGUAGAUUGGAAGUUUUUCUGGAAUUUGACAAAUUAGUGUUUACUAAAUGAUUUAAUAAUCUUUGCUUAUUCAGUAUAAAAUGGUUUACCUUUAAACAGCUUUAAUAGAAACACAAUUUGGGAGGAAAUAGGUAAAAAAUAAAAAUGUAUUUUUCUGCAAAUGAACUGUUUCAAAUGUUAUUUUCAAAAUCUUUGGCAGUAAGAAAAUACUCAACCCGAGAAAUAAAUUUUUUAAACUCUUA